AAGUGCUCUGUGGCUCCUGUGGCAAACAUGUACAGUUUUUGGCAGAAGUUGAACACAACAAAGUUGCAAUCAUCCUCCCAGCAUGAAAGUAUUCGUCAUCUUUUGCAGCUGUUGAUAUUUUUUGUUAAAUUAUUAUCACGUUAACCAACAGUUGCCACGUUAUCAUAAAGAUAUACAGUAUAAGAUAAUGUAAUUGUCACGUAAAUCAAGCUGCAAAAUCCAUAAGCAGCUCCUAUAUUUACAGUACAGUAUUGAACAUAAGACAGAUUUGCGAACAUCAUUACCUGCAUUGUCGAACUUGAGGAAUUUCCUGUCCUGUGGACCAUCAAAUAUUCUUCUCAUUCUCAGGCAUUCCAUAAGGAGGGUCAGGAACUCCCGCUUGGGACCACCAGUGUCCACUCCAUCCUCAGUUUGUCCCUCAUCAUCAGUAAACUUAACCUGCAUCUGAUGAGAGGGGUCGAAUGAGGCCCCUUUGAAGCCGCGGAUUGCUCCAUCCCACACAUUGGCUCUAUUAAUAUUGAACCUGCUGCAAGAGUUUGCUCCGUUUCCUCUUCUGGCUCAGACUGGCUGUCAAUAAUGAUAAGUGCAUACACAGUUGUGUAGUUGCUGCAGUGAGAAGACAGUUGAAUAAUGACUUUCAAAUACAUAAUAUAUGCAUGACAGUCAUAUUUGCAAAAGGAUGUCGAUCCUCUUCCUGGUUUUUUUAAUACAUUGGGUUCUAAACUGACAACAGCACUUUGUCAUACUCCUGCACAAUCCUUGUAAACAUUUGAAAUGGAUGCAACAAACAAUAUCUGACAUUUGACAAAUAUUUGUGGGUGUUUUUUGUAUCGUCUUCACUAAGAUGUUGUGGGUGUCCUUUGGAAAUGUAUGAAAGUAUAAUUGUUCUGCUUCCUGGCAAUAUUACCCACUGUGAUUGGAGGCUAUGCAAACAACCAAAUGUACAAAUAAAAAUACACACCAAACAACUGUGUCACGAUGCAACUGUCAACAUCGUUUACCUAUAGAAGGUGUUCUGACCCGGGGCAGACUGGACCUCUUCCUGGAAUGGGGUUGGUUCUCCAUCCUACUUUUACCCAAUAAAUAAUGAUGCAGUUGAUCUAAUGACAGUGUCAUUAGCACACAAAGGUAUUUAUUGAUUUCAUGUUCACAAAUUCAAACCUACAUGGUAUAAUUACAUUUGUAAUUAGUCUUACCCGAUC